rnacentral:lncRNA from 1 species
CCGGUAAGGUUAUCAACCUCUAGUCUGCCUCCUACCACACCAGUAAGGUUAUCAACCUUUAGUCUACCACCCCAGUAAGGUUAUCAACCUCUAGUCUACCACCUACCACCCCAGUAAGGUUAUCAAUCUAUAGUCUACCACCCCAGUAAGCUUAUCAAUCUAUAGUCUACCACCCCAGUAAGGUUAUCAACCUUUAGUCUACCACCUACCACCCCAGUAAGGUUAUCAACCUCUAGUCUACAACCUUCCACCCCAGUAAGGUUAUCAACCUCUCAUCCGCCACCUACCACCCCAGUAAGGUUAUCAAUCUCUAAUCUACCACCCUAGUAAGGUUAUCGACCUUUAGUCUACCACCCCAGUAAGGUUAUCAACCUUUAGUCUACC